rnacentral:rRNA from 1 species
UACGGAGGGGGCUAGCGUUGUUCGGAAUUACUGGGCGUAAAGCGCACGUAGGCGGCUUUGUAAGUUAGAGGUGAAAGCCCGGGGCUCAACUCCGGAACUGCCUUUAAGACUGCAUCGCUUGAAUCCGGGAGAGGUGAGUGGAAUUCCGAGUGUAGAGGUGAAAUUCGUAGAUAUUCGCAAGAACACCAGUGGCGAAGGCGGCUCACUGGCCCGGUACUGACGCUGAGGUGCGAAAGCGUGGGGAGCAAACAGG